AUGAAGCUGGAUUCGCUAGUAGUCGCGCAUCAGCCACGGCGCGGUGAAUACGUUCCCGGGCCUUGUACACACCGCCCGUCAAGCCAUGGGAGCCGGGAGUGCCCGAAGUGCGCGGCCGCGAGGAGCGCCCUAGGGCAAGACUGGUGACUGGGGCUAAGUCGUAACAAGGUACC
rnacentral:rRNA from 1 species